ACGUGGGUAACCUGCCUGUAAGACUGGGAUAACUCCGGGAAACCGGGGCUAAUACCGGAUGGUUGUUUGAACCGCAUGGUUCAAACAUAAAAGGUGGCUUCGGCUACCACUUACAGAUGGACCCGCGGCGCAUUAGCUAGUUGGUGAGGUAACGGCUCACCAAGGCGACGAUGCGUAGCCGACCUGAGAGGGUGAUCGGCCACACUGGGACUGAGACACGGCCCAGACUCCUACGGGAGGCAGCAGUAGGGAAUCUUCCGCAAUGGACGAAAGUCUGACGGAGCAACGCCGCGUGAGUGAUGAAGGUUUUCGGAUCGUAAAGCUCUGUUGUUAGGGAAGAACAAGUACCGUUCGAAUAGGGCGGUACCUUGACGGUACCUAACCAGAAAGCCACGGCUAACUACGUGCCAGCAGCCGCGGUAAUACGUAGGUGGCAAGCGUUGUCCGGAAUUAUUGGGCGUAAAGGGCUCGCAGGCGGUUUCUUAAGUCUGAUGUGAAAGCCCCCGGCUCAACCGGGGAGGGUCAUUGGAAACUGGGGAACUUGAGUGCAGAAGAGGAGAGUGGAAUUCCACGUGUAGCGGUG
rnacentral:rRNA from 1 species